rnacentral:tRNA from 1 species
AGCCAGUGGUGUAGUGGUUUGAGCAUUGGAUUAUGACUCUGGAGACCAGGGUUCGAAUCCUAGCUCUGUUA